AAAAGAGAACCUUAGAAAGGCCAUACUUAGGACUCUAAAAUUUUCAUUCUACUUAUGAUCUAACCAUGGGGGAUUUUGUAAAGAUCAUAACCUCAGAGAAAGGCAUCAGACUAAUACCUGCAUGGAAAUUUGCACAAGAUUUCAGAUUCCAAUCAUUGAGUUCAAGGCAGUUCAAAUACAAAGCUCGCAAGUAAAUUCACAAGUUCAAUAUUUGAAGACCAAAAUUGACUCAAGAAGAUGCUCUAUAUGCUUAAUUAUCAUUUUAGGAUACUUCAAUUAUGUGAAUACAAGAAAAAAAAAAUUUCUAUUUCACUCUUUUUUUCAUUUGUUUCUUAGAAAAAAACUUAAUUUCUUAAGCAUUUCUUUUCACAUAAAACUUUAUACUAUAAAAACUAUUACUUGUUAUUUAUUACUAUUAGUAUUGUAAUAAUUCAUACAAUGAUCAAAAGAAAGAAAGAAAGAAAGAAAGGAAAAAUCAUUGCAUGAUAAAAUUGCUCUAUAGAAUAGAUUAAGUUAAUAAACAAAUUCAUUUUUUAAAUUUUCUUAUGCUUAUUGUAAGUAAUUCACUUUCAUAGCAAUCACAUUUAGCUCUAGCAUAUUCAAUAUCAAAAACGAAAAAAAAAAGGAACAAAAAGUAAAUAAAUAAAUAAAUAAGUUUCUUCCAAACCAAUAAGCUGAUAUCAAAUUGUCCAACUUUGUAUGAUGAGGUUAGAGAGAUGGCAGCCCCAGUUGCAAUCCUAUUGUUUUGGUCAAGGGUUUACUUGUUAUCUAUCAUGCUUAAGGUUAAUCCCCUGCAUGAUAAAAUCUAGACUUAAUGGUAAAACUUAUGAAAUAGUUUUAUGUUGUUACCUUUUCUACAGAAAGAAAAUAAGAAACUAUUAAUUAUUAAGUUUAUCAAACUUCUAUCACAUUUUCUAAGAAAAAUAGGAAGAAAAAAAAAUCAUUAAUAUCUUGUUGUUUCCUUUUUUUUUUCAAGAUAACAAUGGAGCUACUCCAAAGUUUCAACUUUUCUAUGCUUUCUCUUUACUGUUGUCUUGCCAAAGUCUCACUUUGUCCACCCUGCUAAUAAGCAAACAUGCCAUUGGAGGGAUGAUAUUGGCCCUACUGGGGACUAGAUUUUUAUCCAACUUAAGAGAAACCUAGCCAUAGAAGGUGCAUCCACACAAAGAAAGAAAAAGGAAAUGGCUUAUCUUCAAAAUGCAGGGGCCAAAUGAGAGAGAUGCCUAUUGUCCCCACCCAGUCAAAGAAUGAAAAAGAAAAAUCAAAUGAACAUGACAUAAAAGAUAGUAAAACGUUUGCAGACUGGAAUUCAAUGAAUUAUAGCUCAUUGUAUCAUGUGGAGAGUUAGGCUAUAAACUUGUUUUUAUGAUAGCGAAACAUAGUGAAGCAUUGAAAAGAGAGUUUUUUAAAUUAUUGAUACAUAGGGUAGUCAAUGGAUGAAGAGGAUGGCUAAUGUUAGCAAAUAGCUAAACAAGAAGCUUAAUAGUAAACCCCUUUCAGAUAUAUGGCUAGAGGGACAAGUAAGAUGAAAUCAUUAAAUGAAUCUUUGUUUCUUUGAUGGGGAUUGCAUUUUUUUUUCUUUUUCUCUGAUGGAACUUUGAAGUUACAUUAUAUUUUGAGAAAACCAAAAAACAUGAAAAACUGGAGAAAAAAAACACUCGACAAAACUCCUAGCACCCAAAAAUGAAGGUACAUUAAAGUAAAAGUAAAAUUUUUUUGGUUAUUGUGUCUUUGAUUAAAUGAUCUGUAACUUGAAAACCAAAAAGAAACAAAGAAAAAAAACAAAAAAGAGAAUGAUCAACCAAAAGAAAAAAAAAAUCCCAAAUAGUUAGUGUGGAUACAUUGAAGCCUCUUCCACCAAAUCAAUUAGGUGAAAUAUGGGUUCGAGGGCAAACAUGAUGCAGGACAAAGUUUGAUCAAAAGUUUGUGUUAGUUCCUCUUCGCAACGAUUUCUAACAACAGGUGACCUUAUCUGAAUCUCCCAAUUAAUUAGGUUCCAUUCAAAUCGAACCAUCUUAAUUCAUUUAGAAAGGAAACAUGGUGGUUAAGACAUCAAUUUUGGUUAAAAUCAAAUUAUUAAUGUUUUAAUUUUGCCUUGUAUUGACUUGUGAAGCCAAACAAUGUAUUCCUAAUCAAACUGCUUAAUCUCACAAGUGGCUUGCCUUGUGCUGUGGGACUCCUAAGCUAACCCUCAUCUUGCUAACAUCUAAUUUGCCAAAUUAGGCAGAUUAGACCAGUCAGACCUGUUAUAACAUAUUACUGAAUACCUAAGAUCCAAAGUUUGAUUAUUUCAAUUGGUCUUUCAAUUAGAACUCUAUGACAUAUGUGAAAUAUAAAACUGCUUCUAAAUUUUGUAUCUCUUUGUACCAUUGAGUUUCAAAUAUUCCACAUUAAGGAAAAUGGGUGCUCAAUAAAAGAGAAUGAAAUAAUGAUAAGAUUUUCAUUCUUGAAUAUUUAUAAGCCAAUCUUGGUUAUUAUAUCUUGAUCUAUAGCUAACUCUCUUGCCAAUUUGGUUGGAGCUAACUCUCUCGGGAUGUGAAUUGCCUGAGAUAUGAUGGCCUCAAAUGAAAACAGAAAGGAAAGGGAAAAACCAACCAGAAAGAAAAGGAAUUUGAUAAUUAGGAAAUUGGCAGGAAGAAAAAGAAAAUGCAUUCAACCUAGUAGAUAAAAUUAGUAAAGUGUCUCUCCUAUAAGCAUAAGAAUUUCCACUCAAAGAACGAAUAUCAAGCUUAUGUCAAUCAGCUGAAUUAAAAAUGUAAAAAUGAGCCUAAAAAGUCAAUUCCUGAUUUUUAAGAAGUUAGAAAAUCACAAAAUUGCAUUUGCCCCAUACAUGAGAUAACAGGAUUUGUAUAGAAGUAAAAGAAUGGUUGGUGAAAAACAGAUGUUGAAGUCCAUUUAAGAAAUUAAAAUUAAGGUAAAUUAGUAAGAAAUUAAAAUUAAGGUAAAUUAGGAAGCCUUUUCCCUCCAAAAUUGCAUAAACCCCAAAACCUAUCCAAUGUUUCUCCUGAAUAGCAAUUGUACAUGAGAUAAAUAUAAUCAAAUGACAUGAUUUUCAACAUCUGAAUUUUUAGAUUUUUGACAAAAUGCUUUUAGUCCGUACCCAUUAAUUUUGAUAAACUUAAUAUUCAUUUUUCCCUUUCUUCUUAGUGUUUACAUGAAGAACAAAAUUAGUCCAAGGGGGUUACUACUUUGAUGGAUUCAAAAUAAAAAAUAAAUAAAUAGAUAAAUAAAAUGAAAAAAAAAAAGAAACAAGAUUAAGAUGAGUCAAAGUGUAGCAUCCUAAUUAGGAAGAGCUUUGCUCUAUUCGAAACUCAUAGCCUUUGAUUUCAUGAGGUGCAGACAAGGCACUAUAAUAAUAGCAGACUGCAUUGAAUUUCAUAUCACUAAAAUUUUCAACUUCAUCUUAUGCACGGAAGACAAAAAAACACAAAAGAGAAGGGACAGGAGCAAUCAUUGCUUCCAAGCUAAGUUUAGAUGCACAUGAAAAUGGAAAGAAGAAUAAGAGUGCAGAGAUGGGGUAUGUGAAAGUAUGGUGAGGGAUUGAUGCUCAUAAUAAUUAGUAAAUAUAUACCAGGGAAUCCAAACACAAACCCUAACCAGAAAAAGAGAGAUGGGAGGAAAUAGAAGUGAUGAAAAGAAACCCAAUUUGAAAUCAAAGAAAGAAAGAAAGGAAUAAUAGAGUGUGAAGCCGUAGAAGGAAUCGAAAGAAUACCUAGAAGAUGUGGGCGAUGAAGUGGCUAAAGAAAUUGGUCGUUGAGCGAGUUGGUCAUUGAUCUAAGCCCCCUCAGUGAUGAGGAUGUCAGUGACGACAAGAAUCUAGUCGGAGAAAUAUACAGUGAUGAGGAUGGGUAUUAUGGCUUUGGGAGAAGAGUUCAAUGGUCUCUAAUGGUGGCUAAGAAGAGUGAACGAUAAAAGACAUGGCUCUCAGUGGGUCCAGCAGUCUAAACCGAGCAGAAGAGAUAGUGCUUAUAUAGUGGCUCUAUGGUCAUGAACAAGCCCAUGUGAUUGUGCCUAUUGGGCCAUAUAUUGCUAGAAGAGCUUUUAUAGCAGCAACCCAGCCCAUGUGGUUGUGCCUAUUGGGCCAUAUAUUGCUAUAAGAGCUUUUAUAGCAGCAACCCAUUCGUUCCCCAGCUAUAUGAGCUUUUAUAGUAGCGAUCUAUUCCUCCCUCAGCCAUAAUGAUGCGGAAAUUUCUAAUCUGUUGCGACUUAUACAAGUAUGAUACUAUAUAUAUGUUUUGGUUGUGGAUUUUGUUGGCCCAAUUAAAA
rnacentral:lncRNA from 1 species